AGUGAACGCUGGCGGUAGGCCUAACACAUGCAAGUCGAACGGCAGCACAGUAAGAGCUUGCUCUUACGGGUGGCGAGUGGCGGACGGGUGAGGAAUACAUCGGAAUCUACUUUUUCGUGGGGGAUAACGUAGGGAAACUUACGCUAAUACCGCAUACGACCUACGGGUGAAAGCAGGGGAUCUUCGGACUUUGCGCGAUUGAAUGAGCCGAUGUCGGAUUAGCUAGUUGGCGGGGUAAAGGCCCACCAAGGCGACGAUCCGUAGCUGGUCUGAGAGGAUGAUCAGCCACACUGGAACUGAGACACGGUCCAGACUCCUACGGGAGGCAGCAGUGGGGAAUAUUGGACCAAGGGCGCAAGCCUGAUCCAGCCAUACCGCGUGGGUGAAGAAGGCCUUCGGGUUGUAAAGCCCUUUUGUUGGGAAAGAAAAGCAGCAGGUUAAUACCCCGCUGUUCUGACGGUACCCAAAGAAUAAGCACCGGCUAACUUCGUG
rnacentral:rRNA from 1 species